UACGUAGGGGGCUAGCGUUGUCCGGAUUUAUUGGGCGUAAAGAGCGUGUAGGCGGCUAUGCAGGUCCGCUGUGAAAACUCGAGGCUCAACCUCGAGACGUCGGUGGAAACCGCAUGGCUAGAGUCCGGAAGAGGAGAGUGGAAUUCCCGGUGUAGCGGUGAAAUGCGCAGAUAUCGGGAAGAACACCCGUGGCGAAGGCGGGUUGCUGGGCCGACACUGACGGCUGAUGCGCGAAAGCCAGGGGAGCGAACGGG
rnacentral:rRNA from 1 species